GUCACUUUGGUGUAGUCGGUUAUCACGCAUGCUUCACACGCAUGAGGUCGCAGGUUCGAAUCCUGCAAGUGACA